CUCCAAGUCAUCAAAUGUGGUGUUUCCUACACAAUUUAUUAGCAUAAGCUUUCUUUCUUUCCUCGCCAUCCUAGUGCUUCAGAAUCUCAUCCAUGAUUGCUAAGCUCUGGCCAACCUUCAUGAAAUAAAUUGAGUUUUUUUUUCAGUUCAAAAGAGAAAAAAGAAAUGUAUCAAGUGGAGACGCCCGAAUCGAUCAACCAAAGCAAAUUCCGUUCUUCUCUUUCUCAUCAUUGCAUCCUUUCGUCGCCAUUCAUCUUUUAAUAUUCCCCAC
rnacentral:lncRNA from 1 species